GAGGCAGCUCAUCAAAUUAAUAGGGCGGCCGAUGAAGCGAUGAUAGGGAUAUGGAUAAUCAAGACGGCCGUGAAAAGAAUGGAUGGGGAAAGAGCAGGUGUGGUUGUUGAUGGAAGCAUCAGCCAGCCUAAUGCCUAGUUCUAACAUGGGAUUGCCGCAGUUGUUGGGGUCAUUCUUGAGGCGGAAAGGGGGCCAAAUAUUGCCAAGAAUGCCGCAGCUAGAGGGGCUGCAAUGGCUGCUGUUAGCAGCAAUAGAGGUUUCGAAGAAAUGUUGGAGAGAGAGUAUCAAGAGAGAGAAGAGGAGGUUUUGAGCGAUAAUCAUCGUCUUCUUAAUUCAUUCACUUCAUCAGGGGAAAUUAACUAGCCCUAACUAUUAACCAUGUUUAAAUUAAUUAGUUGAAUACUUGUGUGUUUUGGUGAUUGAGACGUGUGAUAUCGGGAGCUUCUUACAUUUGGAUUCAGAUUCUCAUUUUAUAUUUCUGUCAUAUAUGAAGGCAUAAAUUGGAGUACGUAACGUAAUAUUGUUGUGCAGUGGAUUUUAUUAGUUCUUCCAUAAUUUCAAC